UACGUAGGUGGCAAGCGUUGUCCGGAUUUACUGGGCGUAAAGAGCGCGUAGGCGGCUCGUUAAGUGAGAAGUGAAAGCUGUGGGCUCAACCCACAAACCGCUUUUCAUACUGGCGAGCUGGAGUGAUGCAGAGGUGGAUAGAAUUCCCGGUGUAGCGGUGAAAUGCGUUGAUAUCGGGAGGAAUACCCAUGGCGAAGGCAGUCCACUGGGCAUCAACUGACGCUGAGGCGCGAAAGCGUGGGUAGCAAACAGG
rnacentral:rRNA from 1 species